rnacentral:lncRNA from 1 species
AGACAGUAUACCACCCUUCAUAGAAACAAUAUGAAUUGAAGUCUUUCCUCUGUGAUUUCUUUUUCAGGGUGCAAUACUGUGUGACAGCUUGACUGUGGAGAGGCUUGACACCAUUUUGCUGUGAAUUGAAUAACUCAGCAGAGGAGGAAGAUCAGAGAAGAUAGGAGGGAGGAAUUGGAAAAAGCAGUCCUAUACACAGGGGCAGAGAAGACUGGAAGUCUAAGAUAAAGGGCAAUGGGAAUAUUCGUGGCUGGGAGAGGGCUACCCUCUGCUCAG